UACGUAGGGUCCAAGCGUUGUCCGGAUUUAUUGGGCGUAAAGAGCUCGUAGGUGGUUCGGUAAGUCGGAUGUGAAAACUCGGGGCUCAACCCCGAGACGCCAUCCGAUACUGCUGUGACUUGAGUCUGGUAGGGGAGAUCGGAAUUCCUGGUGUAGCGGUGAAAUGCGCAGAUAUCAGGAGGAACACCGAUGGCGAAGGCAGCCCCCUGGGUCGACACUGACGCUCAGGCACGAAAGCGUGGGGAGCAAACAGG
rnacentral:rRNA from 1 species